CCGACGCCCCAGGGUCCUUGGCCCACGCUCCCCUCUCCCGACCCCCAGCAUCCCGGGCCCCUGCCCGCCCCCCGCGACCCCGCCGGCCUCAGGUCCCGCCCUCCCCGCUCGGGGUCCCUCCCGACCCCCCAGCAUCCCGGGCCCCUGCCCGCCCCCCGCGACCCCGCCGGCCUCAGGUCCCGCCCUCCCCGCUCGGGGUCCCUCCCGACGCCCCAGGGUCCUUGGCCCACGCUCCCCUCUCCCGACCCCCAGCAUCCCGGGCCCCUGCCCGCCCCCCGCGACCCCGCCGGCCUCAGGUCCCGGCCUCCCCGCUCGGGGUCCCUCCCGACGCCCCAGGGUCCUUGGCCCACGCUCCCCUCUCCCGACCCCCCAGCAUCCCGGGCCCCUGCCCGCCCCCCGCGACGCCGCCGGCCUCAGGUCCCGCCCUCCCCGCUCGGGGUCCCUCCCGACCCCCCAGCAUCCCGGGCCCCUGCCCGCCCCCCGCGACCCCGCCGGCCUCAGGUCCCGCCCUCCCCGCUCGGGUCCCUCCCGACGCCCCAGGGUCCUUGGCCCACGCUCCCCUCUCCCGACCCCCCAGCAUCCCGGGCCCCUGCCCGCCCCCGCGACCCCGCCGGCCUCAGGUCCCGGCCUCCCCGCUCGGGGUCCCUCCCGACGCCCCAGGGUCCUUGGCCCACGCUCCCCUCUCCCGACCCCCCAGCAUCCCGGGCCCCUGCCCGCCCCGCCGCGACCCCGCCGGCCUCAGGUCCCGCCCUCCCCGCUCGGGUCCCUCCCGACCCCCCAGCAUCCCGGGCCCCUGCCCGCCCCCCGCGACCCCGCCGGCCUCAGGUCCCGCCCUCCCCGCUCCGGGUCCCUCCCGGGGCCGCCCUCAGCCCCCAUCGCGCAGUGGGGCGCUGCUUACCGCAGGCCGAGUGCGGGUCAGAGCCCUGCCCCAGGUGUGACAGGGCCUUGGAUCUAUAGACAAGCUUCUUGUUCACCAGGAGCACCCCUGCAAUGUGCAUUUUCGUGUCAAAGCCACAUCGUUGCCUUUGUAAUGAAUCAGCACUUACACCUGUACUAGGCAAUCAUGCAGUUGGCACCCCAAAAGAAAG
rnacentral:lncRNA from 1 species